GAUCAAGAAGUUCAAAGAUUCAGUUGAACUCAUUAGCUGUCUGAAGUAGUUAUAACUGAUUGUGUGAAGUCUUUUUCACUUAGUUUUAGCUUCCUAUCUUUGUAUAUAUAGAGGAAGUUAGUUUGAUAGAAGGGUGAUCAAUUCUUGUUUGUAAAAUCUCUCUGCACAUUCGAAUAAAAAUAGUUUCCAAUCAAAAGGGUUUCUUCUAUCGUUCUUCAUUCUAGUUCAUGCGUGUGAGUUUUCAGUAUACAUUUAAUAUAUCACAACAGAGCUUGAUCAUGGAUGAUGUGAAGGUGAAGCUCUGCUUUGUCUCCCUCAAGAUUGCGCGGUGGGGAAUUUUCCUUGACGAAUGAGCUGUUCCUUGUCCCAUAGAUGAUAACUCGACCAGCUGAUUUGGGAAUGAACAAGGCAGGACUCGCGGAAUGCAUUGUUCGAGCUGUCAAUUCGUGUCAUCCUCAUCUACACCCCGUGUUAUAUGAGAGGACAUGGAGGCGUACAAAUCGAAAUCCACGGAGAACACGUCACCGCUAAUGAAGAGUAACAUCGAUGGUACCAGAGUCGAACCGAGGUAUACCCUUGAACUUAAGUGUAGAAGGGACUAGACAUGGAUUUGUCUCCCCAGUGGAUAUGAUGAUUGUGAUUUCUUACUUUAAAUGAAGAAAUUAUUGAGAUACUUAUGGUUGUGUUUGAGAAGUGCAAAUGUCCUAUGUUGAUAUUUCAGGGAAUGAAGUGACAACUCUGGAUUUUGAAUUAUCAUAUAGUGUCUACUGCUAUAGUCUUCUCACUAUUAAUUUUUAGGGACUACUAUUAUUUUUCUUGUCCGUUUACAGACUGUUUGUAACAAUAAUAUGUUACCUAACUAAAUUCUGGAUAUGAUACUGAU